rnacentral:rRNA from 1 species
CUCCUGGAAAACGGGUGGUAAUGCCGGAUGCUCCAGUUGAUCGCAUGGUCUUCUGGGAAAGCUUUCGCGGUAUGGGAUGGGGUCGCGUCCUAUCAGCUUGACGGCGGGGUAACGGCCCACCGUGGCUUCGACGGGUAGCCGGCCUGAGAGGGCGACCGGCCACAUUGGGACUGAGAUACGGCCCAGACUCCUACGGGAGGCAGCAGUGGGGAAUAUUGCACAAUGGGCGCAAGCCUGAUGCAGCGACGCCGCGUGAGGGAUGGAGGCCUUCGGGUUGUAAACCUCUUUUAUCGGGGAGCAAGCGAGAGUGAGUUUACCCGUUGAAUAAGCACCGGCUAACUACGUGCCAGCAGCCGCGGUAAUACGUAGGGUGCAAGCGUUAUCCGGAAUUAUUGGGCGUAAAGGGCUCGUAGGCGGUUCGUCGCGUCCGGUGUGAAAGUCCAUCGCUUAACGGUGGAUCCGCGCCGGGUACGGGCGGGCUUGAGUGCGGUAGGGGAGACUGGAAUUCCCGGUGUAACGGUGGAAUGUGUAGAUAUCGG